AAGUAUAUCCUGAAGGCAAGGAGGGAGUAUCCUGAAGGAAGAAGAUGAACUUUAGAAACUUCUAUCUCUGUUCUUCUAAAGCUCCAUAACAAUGAGGGCCACAAAGAGAUAGAGGAAGAAAGAGACUUCAGAUUUAUUGCAGAGCAGGGAGAAAUGCAAGUCAACAUCACAAAUAUACAAGCAACAGAGACAAGAUGAAGGCAGUGGAUUAACAGAAUUGAGCACCUGCAAUCUGAAAAUUAAGCCUGUGAAGAUCGUCAUGUUGGACCCUUUGAAAUGGGAGAGAGCCCCAAAUUUUUAAUCCCAUUUGAAAAUCUUGGCUGUAGUAAUCAGUACCAUGUUUAAAAUGCAUGCUGUUAUUUUAUCUUGUUAUUGUAGUGUUUCUUGAUUCCUUUGUUUCUAACGAACAGUCAUGGAUCAAGCUAGAUCUUGGAAACAGUAAAAGGGAUUUUAAACUCUCAGAUACCUGCAGGGAUUGGGUGAUCUGAAAAAUGUGAAUCUGAGUUUUAUUUAUUUAUUUAUUUAUUUUCAUUC